GGCUCCCUCUUAAUUUCUUUUGUCUCGUUUUCACUGAAGUUUCUGCCUGAAGCCAUUUCAGCGGCCAGCCUAGUCUUCGUCCGGCCAGUCAGCAAGUGAGACCCAGCUGGUCUGUCUGGGCGUUCUGGUGGGAGAUGCUUGAACAUCACCGUGACACCCGCACGCCAUCACAGUGACAUCACAGUGGAACAGCCAGAGCAGAUGUUGCUGUCCAGCACUUGUCGCUGGUGCUGUACCACGGGUGUUUUGACUCAAAAGAAGCACAUAAAGCUGUGUUUAAAGGGGAUCACUUCAUACCUAGACCUUGCUUCCCCUUCCACUACAUGAAAGCA